AUUGAACGCUGGCGGCAGGCCUAACACAUGCAAGUCGAACGGUAACAGGAAGCAGCUUGCUGCUUCGCUGACGAGUGGCGGACGGGUGAGUAAUGUCUGGGAAGCUGCCUGAUGGAGGGGGAUAACUACUGGAAACGGUAGCUAAUACCGCAUAAUGUCGCAAGACCAAAGAGGGGGACCUUCGGGCCUCUUGCCAUCGGAUGUGCCCAGAUGGGAUUAGCUUGUUGGUGGGGUAACGGCUCACCAAGGCGACGAUCCCUAGCUGGUCUGAGAGGAUGACCAGCCACACUGGAAGUGAGACACGGUCCAGACACCUACGGGAGGCAGCAGUGGGGAAUAUUGCGCGAUGGGCGCAAGCCGGAUGCAGCCAUGCCGCGUGUAUGAAGAAGGCCUUCGGGUUGUAAAGUACUUUCAGCGGGGAGGAAGGGAGUAAAGUUAAUACCUUAGCUCAUUGACGUUACCCGCAGAAGAAGCACCGGCUAACUCCGUG
rnacentral:rRNA from 1 species